rnacentral:rRNA from 1 species
GACGAACGCUGGCGGCGUGCUUAACACAUGCAAGUCGAGCGGUAAGGCCCUUUCGGGGGUACACGAGCGGCGAACGGGUGAGUAACACGUGGGUGACCUGCCCUCAGCUCUGGGAUAAGCCUGGGAAACCGGGUCUAAUACCGGAUAUGACUCCAUGACGCAUGUUGUGGGGUGGAAAGCCUUGUGCGGCUGAGGAUGGGCCCGCGGCCUAUCAGCUUGUUGGUGGGGUGAUGGCCUACCAAGGCGACGACGGGUAGCCGGCCUGAGAGGGCGACCGGCCACACUGGGACUGAGACACGGCCCAGACUCCUACGGGAGGCAGCAGGUGGGGAAUCUUGCGCAAUGGGCGAAAGCCUGACGCAGCGACGCCGCGUGAGGGAUGAAGGCCUUAGGGUU